GAAAGGCGAAAAGAACCCCGGCGAGGGGAGUGAAAAAGAACCUGAAACCGUGUACGUACAAGCAGUGGGAGCACCCUUCGGGGUGUGACUGCGUACCUUUUGUAUAAUGGGUCAGCGACUUAUAUUCUGUAGCAAGGUUAACCGAAUAGGGGAGCCGGAGGGAAACCGAGUCUUAAUUGGGCGUUAAGUUGCAGGGUAUAGACCCGAAACCCGGUGAUCUAGCCAUGGGCAGGUUGAAGGUUGGGUAACACUAACUGGAGGACCGAACCGACUAAUGUUGAAAAAUUAGCGGAUGACCUGUGGCUGGGGGUGAAAGGCCAAUCAAACCGGGAGAUAGCUGGUUCUCCCCGAAAG
rnacentral:rRNA from 1 species